rnacentral:lncRNA from 10 species
AAACCGACCCCAAACCACUUCUGGGAAACCACCGGUAUCCACUGCUUUGGGGAACUCUGGAUGCUCGUUAUGCCAAACGCUCUCAAAGUGAAGGAAGAUGAUUUCCCCCCCAUCUUGACCACCCCCCAGUCUUCGCCGCCAAAAACGGACUCCGCCGGCUAUCCUCGGCCCGGUACCAGUUGUUGGAUCCAAGAGAAUUCCGGAACCCAAACGGUCCAUUACCGCGGCUCUGGGUGAAACCGCAAGUAACCCGGAGCCCUCGGCGCGACCACGGCUAGAAUCAGAGCCUAAGGCGUGUGAGCUCAGCCAUCCCACGUCUGUCUUCACGCUCAUACGCAAGCCCGACACACCGGGGCUCCCACUUAAUGAAUACUGAAGAGUAGGGCUGUCCCUACCGCUUCUCACUUCCUUGUUUUCAUCUUUUCGUUAUUAUUAAGCGACCUAACACAAUAAACAUAUUACCUUGUUGGUAACCCUUUUGUAAAGUCAUUCUGAAAGUGCUGUUUGACUCCGUUGCUUGGGUAAUAAGCACGCCUGGGUGAUUCUUGCCCCCUACUGGCUGCGCAUCCUACAAGCCUAGUGCUGAAAGCAAACCAAGUAGCUGGAACAGUUGGAGGUUACAGUGUGAACUCUUCCAGAGACAAAGUAUUCGGGGAAAGAAAGGAAAAAGUAGGCACAGAAAGAAUAGGAAACUUCAGUGUUUGUACACAUAGAUAUGUAUUAUAUAUCUAUGUAUA